rnacentral:rRNA from 1 species
UGGGGGAUAUUGCACAAUGGGCGAAAGCCUGAUGCAGCGACGUCGCGUGGGGGAUGAAGGCCUUCGGGUUGUAAACUUCUUUUGCUCUGAACAAGGCGCACCAUGGGGUGUGUUGAGUGUAGGGGUUGAUUAGCGCCGGCUAACUACGUGCCAGCAGCCGCGGUAAUACGUAGGGCGCGAGCGUUGUCCGGAAUUAUUGGGCGUAAAGGGCUUGUAGGUGGCUGGUUGCGUCUGUCGUGAAAGCUCAUGGCUUAACUGUGGGUGUGGGGUGGGUACGGGCUGGCUUGAGUGCAGUAGGGGAGGCGAGACUUCCUGGUGUAGCGGUGGAAUGCGCAGAUAUCAGGAGGAAUACCGGUCGCGAAGGCGGGUCUCUGGGCUGUUACUGACACUGAGGAGCGAAAGCAUGGGGAGCGAACAGG